rnacentral:rRNA from 1 species
AACUCUCAACAACGGAUAUCUUGGCUCCCGUAACGAUGAAGAACGCAGCGAAAUGCGAUACGUAGUGUGAAUUGCAGAAUUCCGUGAACCAUCGAAUCUUUGAACGCAAAUUGCGCUCGAGGCCUCGGCUAAGAGCAUGUCUGCCUCAGCGUC